GAUGAAGAACGUAGCGAAAUGCGAUACUUGGUGUGAAUUGCAGAAUCCCGUGAACCAUCGAGUCUUCGAACGCAAGUUGCGCCCGAAGCCAUUAGGCCGAGGGCACGCCUGCCUGGGCGUCACACGUCGUUGCCCCCCCAUCUACUCCUUCGGGAUUGCGGGGGGCGGAUGAUGGCCUCCCGUGCGCCUCGUCGCGCGGUUGGCAUAAAUGCCAAGUCCUCGGCGACGCACGCCACGACAAUCGGUGGUUGCGAAACCUCGGUUGCCCGUCGUGUGCGGUCGUCGCGCAUCGAGGGCUCGAAAAAAUUGCCGGGCUCCGGCUCGGCUUUCAACGCGACCCCAGGUCAGGCGGGGUUACCCGCUGAAUUUAAGCAUAUCAAUAAGCGGAGGA
rnacentral:misc_RNA from 1 species